GUGCCUUAAACUAAUGAGUAAGGAAAAUACUAAGCCCUGGUAAUGCUUGGCUUACAAAAUUUAAUUUUACCUUAAUUUUUGAAAGGGUACAGGUCGUCCCCAAUGGGUUGUCCGCCUACUUUAGCGGGUGACCCGGGUGAUAGCGAUCUGCCCU
rnacentral:snRNA from 1 species